rnacentral:rRNA from 1 species
CCUACGGGUGGCAGCAGUGAGGAAUAUUGGUCAAUGGCCGGAAGGCUGAACCAGCCAAGCCGCGUGAAGGACGAAGGUGCCAAGCAUUGUAAACUUCUUUUGUCAAGGGACAAAAUCAGGCUCGAGAGCCUGACCGAGGGUACUUGAAGAAAAAGCAUCGGCUAACUCCGUGCCAGCAGCCGCGGUAAUACGGAGGAUGCGAGCGUUAUCCGGAUUUAUUGGGUUUAAAGGGUGCGUAGGCGGACUGUUAAGUCAGCGGGAAAAGCCCGGGGUUCAACCCCGGCGGGCCGUUGGAACUGGCUGGCUUGAGAUGUCGAGAGGUAGGCGGAAUGCGCAGUGUAGCGGUGAAAUGCUUAGAUAUUGCGCAGAACUCCGAUUGCGAAGGCAGCAUACCGGCGGCGGUCUGACGCUGAGGCACGAAGGCGUGGGUAUCGAACAGGAUUAGAUACCCUGGUAGUC